UCUAAUGUGGCAGAUUAGUGCAAUAGACUUAAGCUCUAUAUAUAAAGAUACCCUUUCAUUAGAA
rnacentral:tRNA from 1 species